UGGGGAAUAUUGCACAAUGGGCGCAAGCCUGAUGCAGCAACGCCGCGUGAGGGACGACGGCCUUCGGGUUGUAAACCUCUUUUAGUAGGGAAGAAGCGAAAGUGACGGUACCUGCAGAAAAAGCACCGGCUAACUACGUGCCAGCAGCCGCGGUAAUACGUAGGGUGCGAGCGUUGUCCGGAAUUAUUGGGCGUAAAGAGCUCGUAGGCGGUCUGUCGCGUCUGCUGUGAAAACCCGAGGCUCAACCUCGGGCCUGCAGUGGGUACGGGCAGACUAGAGUGCGGUAGGGGAGAAUGGAAUUCCUGGUGUAGCGGUGGAAUGCGCAGAUAUCAGGAGGAACACCGAUGGCGAAGGCAGUUCUCUGGGCCGUAACUGACGCUGAGGAGCGAAAGCGUGGGGAGCGAACAGGAUUAGAUACCCUGGUAGUCCACGCCGUAAACGUUGGGCGCUAGAUGUGGGGACCAUUCCACGGUUUCCGUGUCGCAGCUAACGCAUUAAGCGCCCCGCCUGGGGAGUACGGCCGCAAGACUGAAACUCAAAGGAAUUGACGGGGUCAUAGCUGUUU
rnacentral:rRNA from 1 species